rnacentral:sRNA from 1 species
GCACUUAUCUUUUCGCAGACCGCAGCUCCA